CACGUAGGGGGCAAGCGUUGUCCGGAUUUAUUGGGCGUAAAGAGCUCGUAGGUGGCUGAGUAAGUCGGAUGUUAAAUCCCCAGGCUCAACCUGGGACACCACCCGAUACUGCUCUGGCUAGAGUCCGGUAGGGGAGCGUGGAAUUCCUGGUGUGGCGGUGAAAUGCGCAGAUAUCAGGAGGAACACCAGUGGCGAAGGCGGUGCUCUGGGCCGGAACUGACGCUGAGGAGCGAAAGCGUGGGGAGCAAACAGG
rnacentral:rRNA from 1 species